CUGGUCUAUUAAACACUGAAUAGGCGACAGAAUUUCCUGUAAGUUGCUUAUCAUGGGUCAGUCAGACCGCUGUUCUGCUGAGUUCCACCAUGUAGCAGCAUAACCCGUAGGUGCUGUCAGGAAGUGGAGGCCCUCCUUUCUCAUCUAGGACUUCAAAGGAAGUCGUCAUUUCUAAAUGCUUCAUGUAUCUUCAUGAUUUUCUAUAUUAUUUCUGUUAAACUCAGCUAUAGUUAUCCAGAAUCUCCUACCAUGAGUAAAUAGUUGGACUUAUUAUUUAAAUCUAGUCGGGGAAAAAGUUCCACCUCCCAGGGCAGUUAGGAGAUAUGAAGAAGAUACAUUCACUUUUAAGUUAUUGAAAUGAUGUGCAAUGUUCUAAACGAUAGCAGCUAAUACUAGUUGAGGUAAUUGUCAUGGUUUGGCUGUUUAGCUUAAAUUUGAACUGUGGCUUAAUUUUACACAUGUUGUUGACAUACAUUGUUUCUAAUUGUUUUCUAUGGUUUAAAAAUUCUGCCUUUAAAAUAAAUUCAGGAAAUUCACCUGAUAUACUUAUUUUGACCUAAGAAAUAUUUAUAUUUGUAUCAGUAAUUGAAUUUUUAGCCAGUGCUCCAAAAUCAGGAAUUUACUGUUUUGAAAUAAAGCAACUUUUCUUUUCCUUGGACC
rnacentral:lncRNA from 1 species